rnacentral:RNase_P_RNA from 1 species
GCCGGCUUGUCGCUGGUCACCCCCCCCAAUGGGAGGUGAAAAGAGGAAAGUCCGGGCAACACAGGGCAAUCCGCUUCCUAACGGGAAGAAGUCCGCGAGGGCUUGCCGAUGCAGAAGAGAACGACCGCCGCGAGGCUUUGCCUCCCGGUAAGGGUGAGAAGGUGGGGUAAGAGCCCACCAGGCGCAUGGCGACAUGCGUGCUGUGCAUCCCGGAUGUUGAAAGUUCAUGUAAACCGGUGCAAGAGGGCUGCCCGCCUGAGCCGGAGGGUAGAACGAUAGAGGCUACUGGAGACAGGAGUCGUAGAUAAAUGACAAGCACUGCCCUUGGGGCAGACACAGAACCCGGCUUACAGGUGGACUCA